rnacentral:pre_miRNA from 1 species
CUGAUACUCCCUCCGUCCGGAAAUACUUGUCUUAGAAAUACAUGUAUCUAGACAUAUUUUAGUUAUAGAUACAUUCAUUUUAUUCAUUUCUAGGACAAGUAUUUCCGGACGGAGGGAGUACAUG